rnacentral:rRNA from 1 species
UAGGGAAUCUUCCGCAAUGGACGCAAGUCUGACGGAGCAACGCCGCGUGAGUGAAGAAGGAUUUCGGUUCGUAAAACUCUGUUGUUAGAGAAGAACAGCGCAUAGAGUAACUGUUAUGCGUGUGACGGUAUCUAACCAGAAAGCGACGGCUAACUACGUGCCAGCAGCCGCGGUAAUACGUAGGUGGCAAGCGUUGUCCGGAUUUAUUGGGCGUAAAGCGAGCGCAGGCGGUCAAUUAAGUCUGAUGUGAAAGCCCCCGGCUCAACCGGGGAGGGUCAUUGGAAACUGGUUGACUUGAGUGCAGAAGAGGAGAGUGGAAUUCCAUGUGUAGCGGUGAAAUGCGUAGAUAUAUGGAGGAACACCAGUGGCGAAGGCGACUCUCUGGUCUGUAACUGACGCUGAGGCUCGAAAGCGUGGGUAGCAAACAGG